ensembl:lncRNA
CUAAUCUUGUACACCUCGGGAGCACUACGAGAGCCCGUGCAGCCCCUAAUAACCAUCCCUGGCCGGUUCCCGUGGCGAAGAGCCGUCAGAUUGGGCUCAUCCUGGAUCUCUACGGAGCCUGGCAUCGCUUCUGAUGCCUGUCGCUUCCCGUGGGAGAGGGGAGUCUUUCUUCGACGUGAAAAGGGUCCUGCAGGGAGGAGGUCAGAGGCAGAGACUUCUCCAACCCCUCUGAGCCACAGCUAACCACCUCCACGGAACCAUUUCUAUGUCUGCUGGAUGGAUGGAUGCACGCAUGCAGGUCCCACAGCCGUGCAGAGCGGGGCA